rnacentral:rRNA from 1 species
GCUCAGUAACGGCGAGUGAAGCGGCAAGAGCUCAAAUUUGAAAGCUGGCCCCUUCGGGGUCCGCGUUGUAAUUUGCAGAGGAUGCUUCGGGUGCGGCCCCUGUCUAAGUGCCCUGGAACGGGCCGUCAGAGAGGGUGAGAAUCCCGUCUUGGGCAGGGUGCCCGUGCCCGUGUGAAGCUCCUUCGACGAGUCGAGUUGUUUGGGAAUGCAGCUCUAAAUGGGUGGUAAAUUUCAUCUAAAGCUAAAUACCGGCCGGAGACCGAUAGCGCACAAGUAGAGUGAUCGAAAGAUGAAAAGCACUUUGAAAAGAGAGUUAAACAGCACGUGAAAUUGUUGAAAGGGAAGCGCUUGCGACCAGACUCGGCCCCGGGGUUCAGCCAGCACUCGUGCUGGUGUACUUCCCCGGGGGCGGGCCAGCGUCGGUUUGGGCGGCCGGUCAAAGGCCCCAGGAAUGUAUCGCCCUCCGGGGUUGUCUUAUAGCCUGGGGUGCAAUGCGGCCAGCCCGGACCGAGGAACGCGCUUCGGCACGGACGCUGGCGUAAUGGUCGCAAACGACCCGUCU